UCCACUCUAUCUCUCUCAAUCUAGUAGAAACUAGAAGAUCUAUUUCUACCUUACAUUGGUUGCUAAGCCUAAAAAGAAAUAUUAUUUAGAGAAGAGGUUUUCCUUCGAGGGCACCCCUCAAUCUCUAUGAUAAUUUCUUGUCUCCUCCAGGGGCCAGAGGGGGUCUCCUUAUAUAGUCCUCCCCUUCUAUGUGUUUUUGGGUCGAU
rnacentral:lncRNA from 1 species